CGUGUGGUGUGCGGCUUAGAAUCGUAUAGCGACACGGCCUACUUGAGGU
ncrna:Vibrio splendidus ZF-90 L31-Gammaproteobacteria ribosomal protein leader